UACAUUUUCAUCUUAACCAUUGAUUUGAAAAAUGAAUUGUUAAGAUUCUUUCUUAUCCUACUUAGGCAAAACAAACUUUUUAUUUGAUCUCUCCCCUAUAUAUAUAUAUAUAUAUAUAUAUAUAGGGGUAAGAUCAAAUAAAAAGUUGAUUUUGCCUAAGUAGGAUAAGAAGGAAUCUUAACCAUUCAUUUUUGAAAUCAAUGGUUAAGAUGAAAGUGUA
rnacentral:pre_miRNA from 1 species